CAGAGGGUGCAAGCGUUAAUCGGAAUUACUGGGCGUAAAGCGUGCGUAGUCGGCUUUUCAAGUCGGGUGUGAAAGCCCCGGGCUCAACCUGGGAAUUGCAUUCGAUACUGGAUCGCUAGAGUUCGGCAGAGGGAAGCGGAAUUUCGGGUGUAGCGGUGAAAUGCGUAGAUAUCCGAAGGAACAUCAGUGGCGAAAGCGGCUUCCUGGACCAGAACUGACGAUCAGGCACGAAAGCGUGGGGAGCAAACAGGAUUAGAUACCCUGGUAGUCCACGCCAUAAACGAUGACAACUAGACGUUGGGAGGGUAUGCCUCACAGUGUCGCAGCUAACGCGUUAAGUUGUCCGCCUGGGGAGUACGGCCGCAAGGUUG
rnacentral:rRNA from 1 species